GCCAGGUGCGGUGGUGCAUUCUUGUAGUCCCAGCUACUUGGGAGGCUGAGGCCGGAGGAUUGCUUGAGUCCAGGAGUUCUGGGCUGUCAUGCACUAUGCCAAUUGGGUGUCCGCAUCAAUAUGGUGACCUCCUGGGAGUGGGGGACCACCAGGUUGCCUAAGGAGGGAUGAACCGGCCCAGGUCAGGAAAAAAAAAAAAAAGAAAAUGAGACCAGCCCUGGGCCACAAUUGGGCUGCCAUGCACACAAUCCCAGAGACACCAUGCACAGGUUCUAAUGUGAAUGGUGGCUUCUG
ensembl:misc_RNA Metazoa_SRP Metazoan signal recognition particle RNA